UGCAGCCGUGUCAAAUUCAGUGCCUGCCUUGCCCAUGACAGGCACUGGCCCAAAAGGCUGCCACAGAGACACUGUAACUCAUGGGCCCUGUUCCUCACUGCUGAGGAGCAGAGACAACUUUUGUUACAGACAUGA
rnacentral:snoRNA from 1 species